rnacentral:RNase_P_RNA from 1 species
GUGGUGGUAAUGCUUGCUUUAGGGGUGACAUACAGGGCACUUGUUGCCAGUAUUAUCCUUGGGAAGGUCUGAGACAUAGGUAAUCAACCCUCUAGAAGGGGGUGCUCCUAAUGGAGGAGUGGGUCAACAGAAACCAGGCUAAGCUGGGAGUUACAGCAUGUGAUGUCUAUAGACUGAUGCAAAGCUUCCAGUUCUAGUUGAAAGAGACCCAUUACCAGCAAAAGUAGUACAAUUUGCAAGAUGGCCCAAGGGCCAUAACUCAAUUCAGACUACUCUAUCACCAU